GAGCUCUUUUCACAUUGUGCUACUGUCUAACGUGUACCGAGCAGUGCAAUGUUAAAAGGGCAUU
ensembl:miRNA Mir130a microRNA 130a